GCCCCGGCCUGGUCUGAUUUUUGUGUUGUUUUCAUUUUCUCCUCUCUGUUUCGAUAAGGCUGAGGCGAAGCUCGAGCGGCGGAGCAGAGGAGGAGAUUCUCCCUGUCCAUGGCGAUUUCGUGAACUUCCAGCGCUCGAGCUUCAUUUCUGUCCCCUUUCUAUUCGCUCCCCGGUGUCGUGGUUGGUUAUUCCUCUCUGUCGCUCUGUCGAGUAUGAUGUUCUGCUUGUGUUUGUUCCAUAUCUAGGCCAGUUCAUGUCACCCUCUCGCCUUCUGAUGCAGCCGCUGGUGGGUGUGAUUUCUAGGUUUUGUGGUUGUUGUGGUCGUCUCUGGUGGGCUGCUGUUGUAGUUUGUAGAUGCAGCGGGGUUUCCCCUUGUUUCUGUAGAUGUAGCGUGGGGGUUUCUAUAGAUGUAUCAGUAGCCUGCGGGAUUUCUCUUGCUUAUGUUCUGCUCAUGUGCCUGUACGCGAGGAUUAUGUAGAUUCCUAGGUCUUUCCGUGAUGCUACCUGCUCAUGUGAAGCUCUUUCUAGUCCCUGAUUUCGGCUGCUGAUUUUUUGUUGUUAGAUGUAGCUGUUUAGUUCCCCUUGGUACAUGUUUAUGUACUUCUAGAGGCAUGAUAUUUGAGUUUAAUUUUAGUGUAUUUUGUCUCAACCUUUCAGUGUAAUUUACUUAGUAUUUCGUCUCUAAUUUGUUAGUUGGUUGGUUUGGCUUGACAGUGUCUUUUUUAAUGUAAUUUCAGUGUAAUUUGUCUCAGCUUUGCAGUGUAAGGAUUUACUAUGUAAUUUAUCUCAGUAUUGCACUGUAAUUUGUUUCAGCAUUUCAGUGUAAGGAUUUACAGUGUAAUUUAUCUCAGUAUUGCAGUGUAAUUUGUCCCAGUCUUUCACUGUAAUUUACCUGUAAUGUUUUCCCGUGUGAUUUGUUUGGAUCGCUUCUUGUUGUAGCAAUCUAUUGAGAAAUCUUCAGCAAGCAGAGAUGGUGAUGUUCCCCCUUGCAAUGCCUUGCUUUUUGAAAUGAAUGUGCAGAAAUCGUUUGGUGCUCGUUUUGGGUUUGAGGCUUCCUAGGUAGUUAUAGACCUUGUUCAAGCUAGGAACAAAGACAAGCACAAGCUAUUUGUUGAAUGGUCACAAUCCCUUAUAAUUGAUGUUCUAGAUUGCUUAUCACACUCAUCUCUGAAUGUCAAAUCUGUUCCUACAAGUGAGGUUCAUUCUCUUUAUAAGUUCUCUUCUGGUACUAAGUCUAUUUUCUAUUCACUCUUUCAUUGCUGAGAGGAACUUUGAAACUGCUGUUGACAAUCCAUCUCCUCAAGUCGAGCGGCAAAUCCCCAAUUUGAGUCCGUGCUUGAGUUCAUUUUAGCUACUGCGAUACUGGGAUCAACAUCUUCAGUGUCCUGCAACUUUUAGGGAUUUCUUUUAGUUUUUUUUCUGAAAUGUUUCUCCUUUUAUGUUCUUCAGUUGAAAAUUGUUGUGUGUACCUGUUGCAGAUUCAUGUUGUAGAACAGGUUUGUGUCCCAGGGAUUAGAUUCUCCUCCACCAUCUUCGCUUCGCUGCCUCUUCAUGAUGCAAGUCUAGCUCCGAUGUCUGCAAGAUGAAGCAAUUUCUUUGUGAUUUGUUCAAGCAAGAGGUGAAGAGGGGUUUGCCCUUUGCGUGCGUUCCACUGUGGGCAUGUGAUGUGUCGUCCUGGAGAUCAGGCGGAUGCUGGCCCCUGAUUUUCUGGAGGGGUUUGUUGUCCAGGACGAACCGGGUCAAAUGUUUAGCCCAACCCGUUUAGGCGUUCUUUUUGUUAUCUGUUGAUAUUUCUGCUAUUUA